GGUGAACGCUGGCGGUAGGCCUAACACAUGCAAGUCGAACGGCAGCACAGUAAGAGCUUGCUCUUACGGGUGGCGAGUGGCGGACAGGUGAGGAAUACAUCGGAAUCUACUUUUUCGGGGGGGAUAACGUAGGGAAACUUACGCUAAUACCGCAUACGACCUACGGGUGAAAGCAGGGGAUCUUCGGACCUUGCGCGAUUGAAUGAGCCGAUGUCGGAUUAGCUAGUUGGCGGGGUAAAGGCCCACCAAGGCGACGAUCCGUAGCUGGUCUGAGAGGAUGGUCAGCCGCACUGGAACUGAGACACGGACCAGACUCCUAAGGGAGGCCGCAGUGGGGAAUAUUGGACAAUGGGGGCAAGCCUGAUCCAGCGAUACCGAGUGGGUGAAGAAGGCCUUCGGGUUGUAAAGCCCUUUUGUUGGGAAAGAAAAGCAGCAGGUUAAUACCCCGCUGUUCUGACGGUACCCAAAGAAUAAGCACCGGCUAACUUCGUG
rnacentral:rRNA from 1 species